rnacentral:rRNA from 1 species
GUGCCAGCCGCCGCGGUAACACCGGCAGCCCGAGUGAUGGCCGAUAUUAUUGGGCCUAAAGCGUCCGUAGCUGGCCGAGCAAGUUCGUCGGGAAAUCCACGCGCCUAACGUGUGGGCGUCCGGCGAAAACUGUUCGGCUUGGGACCGGAAGACCCGAGGGGUACGUCCGGGGUAGGAGUGAAAUCCCGUAAUCCUGGACGGACCACCGAUGGCGAAAGCACCUCGGGAGGACGGAUCCGACAGUGAGGGACGAAAGCUAGGGUCUCGAACCGGAUUAGAAACCCGGGUAGUCC